rnacentral:tRNA from 1 species
GCGGAUGUGGCGGAACUGGUAGACGCCCUGGAUUUAGGUUCCAGUGCCGAAAGGCGUGUAGGUUCGACUCCUAUCAUCCGCACCA